UACGUAGGUGGCAAGCGUUGUCCGGAAUUACUGGGCGUAAAGAGUGUGUAGGCGGUGCUCUAAGUUCGGUGUGAAAUCUCCUGGCUCAACUGGGAGGGUGCGCCGGAAACUGGAGUGCUUGAGCGUGGGAGAGGAAAGCGGAAUUCCUGGUGUAGCGGUGAAAUGCGUAGAUAUCAGGAGGAACACCUGUGGUGUAGACGGCUUUCUGGACCAUAGCUGACGCUGAGACACGAAAGCGUGGGUAGCAAACAGG
rnacentral:rRNA from 1 species